rnacentral:tRNA from 1 species
GGGCCUGUAGCUCAAUGGUUAGAGCCGGCGGCUCAUAACCGCUUGGUUGGGAGUUCGAGUCUCUCCGGGCCCACCC